AUCCCUACGGCUCCUCGUCAGGUUUGUUAACCGCUGAGCCACAAAGGGAACUCUAGCACACUUUCAAAGAGGCGUAAUCAUCCCCAUUUUACAGAUGGAGAACCUGAAAGGCAGAGACCAUACAUCCACCUGAACUGAGAUCUGUCAUAUUACAAAGGCUCUAAUCUUCUAACUUUCCUGCAGUGGUUCUUGAGAGCAUAAGGAAAGUCCCCUUUUAUUCAGCCCUCGACAGAUGAUCUUCACUGCAUGAAGCGGCCACACUGCAUAAGGGACAGACUAGGAUGUGAAAGAGACAACGAUGAGGGUGAUGAAGGAUCUGGAAACCCUUUCAAAUAAGGCGCAACUGGGGGAACUAGAGAUGGUUGGUAUGGAAAAUUAAAGCGAUGCUUGGAGAAUUUCUAGCCUGAGUGCCUGACUACUGGAAGAGAAAUGCUUGAGUUUGAUUCUUCACCCACCUUUGAUGGAAACUGACUUGGAACAUACUUUGGGAACUGGCUAGGGGAAGGAGCUUCAGAACAGAGGCUUGGAGGACAUAGUAUUUCAUGGAGUUCUUGUGGUGCAAUGGGUUAAGAAUCUGACUACAGUAGCUCACGUCAUGUGGAGGCACAGGUUAAACAAUCCCUAGCCCUGUGCAGUAGGUUAAAGGAUCGAGCGUUGCUGCAGCUGUGGGGUAGAUCUCAGUUGCUGCUCAGGUUCAGUGCCUGGCCUGGGAACUUCCAUGUGCCGUCAGUGUGGCCAUAAAAUUAAAAAAUGAAAAAUAGUGUUUCUUGAGUUAUAAGGUACCAGGGCCAAUGCCCACUACUGCACUGCUGAA